GACAGUUAUGGGGGAAUUGGCUGACCCUACCAGUCUCGAAAACUGGCGCUCAAAAGGCAUGCAGGUUCGAUUCCUGCAACUGUCG
rnacentral:tRNA from 1 species